GGGCAAGUAGCGCAACGGUAGCGCGUCCGCUUCGCAUGCGGGAGGCUGGGGGUUCGAAUCCCCCCUUGUCCA
rnacentral:tRNA from 1 species